rnacentral:rRNA from 1 species
GCUUCUUAUGUGCCCCGAGGUGGGGGAUAGGUCGGGGAAACCCGGCGUAAUACCCCAUGUGCUCUUCGGAGGAAAGGUUUUCCGCCUUGGGAGCAGGAAGCGCCCUAUCAGGUUGUUGGUGAGGUAAAGGCUCACCAAGCCUUAGACGGGUAGCGGGUGUGAGAGCAUGACCCGCCGCAUCGGGACUGAGACACUGCCCGGACUCCUACGGGAGGCUGCAGCGACGAAUCUUCCGCAAUGCGCGAAAGCGUGACGGAGCAAUGCCGCGUGCGGGAUGAAGCGGCUCCGCCGUGUAAACCGCUGUCAGGGGUCAGAAAUAGUGAUCAACCCCAAAGGAAGGGCCGGCUAACCUCGUGCCAGCAGCCGCGGUAAUACGAGGGGCCCGAGCGUUAAUCGGAAUCACUGGGCUUAAAGGGUGCGUAGGCGGAUGCGCAAGCGUCCUGUGAAAUCCCUCAGCUCAACUGAGGAAUUGCAGGGCGAACUGCGUGUCUUGAGACAGGUAUGGGCCGUCGGAACGUUCGGUGGAGCGGUGAAAUGCAUAGAUAUCGAACGGAACGCCGAAGGAGAAGUCGGGCGGCUGGGCCUGUUCUGACGCUGAGGCACGAAAGCGUGGGGAGCGAACAGGAUUAGAUACCCUGGUAGUCCACGCCCUAAACGAUGCGCACUAGAUCGAGGCCGUUUCGAAGCGGUCUCGGUCGUAGAGAAAUCAUUAAGUGCGCCGCCUGGGGAGUACGGUCGCAANGCUAAAACUCAAAGGAUUUGACGGGGGCUCACACAAGCGGUGGAGCAUGUUGCUUAAUUCGAGGCAACGCGAAGAACCUUACCUGGGUUUGACGUGCACNGAUUAG